rnacentral:lncRNA from 1 species
UAUAGUUCUGGUGAAUCCAAAGACUUCUUCAUUCUAUGAUUAGAGAACACGAAGCAAUACAUCAAGUGACUCAAAGGAGCCGUUUAAUAUAAGUAUUAAAGGAUACAUCCGGGACACUAGAUCAACACAUACGCAGCCAUUCGGCAAUCCUCGGUAGAAUCCGCUACUCUCCGGUACGGAAUCGGCCGAGUUGAGACGAAUGAUACGCAGCAACAAACACAGAAAGUAAAGGAUUAUCACUUUUAUUGUUAUUGUUCUUCUCAAAGUCACAGUUGGACUAUCACCAAGGAAUACAAACUAUCACGUCUAAGACGGAUCCUGGCAACUACCGGUAUCUUGUAUCGUAUGUAAGUUGAGACAAUCUAAAUUUUAAAGGGGUUCAUAAUGGGUUUGUAUACCCUUCUGUAUUUCAAAUUCACACAAUCUCGUCCUGAUUUAAUAAUUUUGUUUGUCAAUAAUACAUAUACUUGCACCUUACCAAGAGUCCACUCUCAAAUGUUUUCACUGCUGAUAUUUGCUACAAACAAAGUAUCUGAAAGUUGCGUAAUCGAAUGUUGAAUUUGACGACAAAAUUUCAUUCUCUCGGAAUAUUCGAAAGACCGUUACUCACAAAAUUUCGUAUCAGUGACCGUAACAUUGAAACUCGACGAUAUAAAAAUAUCUAACGGAAACAGAAAAUAUUUUAUAGUUGAAGAUUAAUACCAAAUUUUCCUUGUUCUUUAUCAC